rnacentral:rRNA from 1 species
AUUGAACGCUGGCGGCAGGCUUAACACAUGCAAGUCGAACGAGCGGCGGACGGGUGAGUAAUGUCUGGGAAACUGCCUGAUGGAGGGGGAUACCUACUGGAAACGGUAGCUAAUACCGCAUACCAUCAGAUGUGCCCCGAUGGGAUUAGCUAGGGGGUGGGGUAAUGGCUCACCUAGGCGACGAUCCCUCGCUGGUCUGAGAGGAUGACCAGCAACACUUGAACUGAGCCAGGGUCCGGACUCCUACGGGAGGCAGCAGUGGGGAAUAUUGCACAAUGGGCGCAAGCCUGAUGCAGCCAUGCCGCGUGUGUGAAUAAGGCCUUCGGGUUGUAAAGUACUUUCAGCGAGGAGGCGUUACUCGCAGAAUAAGCACCGGCUAACUCCGUGCCAGCAGCCGCGGUAAUUC